ACGCUCGACACCUACGGGAGGCAGCAGUGAGGGAUAUUGGUCAAUGGGGGAAACCCUGAACCAGCAACGCCGCGUGAGGGAUGACGGCCUGGUUGUAACCUCUGUCCUCUGCGAAGAUAAUGACGGUAGCAGAGGAGGAAGCUCCGGCUAACUACGCGCCAGCAGCGCGGUAAUCUGAGCGGGCUGGCAAGGC
rnacentral:rRNA from 1 species